UACCAGUCGUCUCUUGUCUUGGAUCUGCUCUUUUGGUUGGAUUACUGGGUUUCUUCAUUGUCAAGAAGAGAUACAAGUCCAGACCUGGAGAGUUUACACCUCAAGGGGGACAGAAGGUAAUUACCAGGAAAACACUGGAUGAAGGCACACACUCCACAGUUUUGUUCAGGUGCCAGAGAACAGAGGCAAAUACCCAACAGCUUCUAAUGCAUUCUUCUGCAACAAACCAGGACAAAACAGAUCCUCUGGUGGUAAAAUACUGAAUCUAUGGCAUGUUUUUGAUAAUAUUCAU